rnacentral:lncRNA from 1 species
CUGGUUGGCACUAUUGAAGUUCGGUUGGCACUAUUGAAAGUUGAUGGCUGGAGAGGUAUGAAAGAUAUCGGAGACAGUCGAUCACUGUAGAAAUCCGACUGCUGGAGCCCGUCCGUUGUAAAAGUUUGUCUGAAAUCCAUCCGCUGUAGAAGUUCGGACGGAGUCCGAUUCUUGCAGAAGUCCGGAAGGAGGCCGCUUACUGUAGAAGCUCGAAUG